GUAAAUGUAGUUUAAAUAAAACGCUGGGUUGUGGGCCCAAAGAUGAAAGUUAAACCCUUUUCAUUCACC
rnacentral:tRNA from 1 species